rnacentral:rRNA from 1 species
AACGAACGCUGGCGGCAGGCCUAACACAUGCAAGUCGAGCGAGACCUUCGGGUCUAGCGGCGGACGGGUGAGUAACGCGUGGGAACGUGCCCUUUUCUACGGAAUAGCCUCGGGAAACUGAGCGUAAUACCGUAUAAGCCCUUUGGGGGAAAGAUUUAUCGGCGAUGGAUCGGCCCGCGUUGGAUUAGGUAGUUGGUGGGGUAAUGGCCUACCAAGCCUACGAUCCAUAGCUGGUCUGAGAGGAUGAUCAGCCACACUGGGACUGAGACACGGCCCAGACUCCUACGGGAGGCAGCAGUGGGGAAUCUUAGACAAUGGGCGCAACCCUGAUCCAGCCAUGCCGCGUGAGUGAUGAAGGCCUUAGGGUUGUAAAGCUCUUUCACCUGGGAAGAUAAUGACGGUACCAGCAGAAUAAGCUCCGGCUAACUCCGUG